rnacentral:rRNA from 1 species
UACAGGCCUAACACAUGCAAGUCGAGGGGCAGCGAGAGGAAGCUUGCUUUCCUUGUCGGCGACCGGCGCACGGGUGAGUAACGCGUAUCCAACCUGGCCCUUAGUAGGGGAUAGCCCGGCGAAAGUCGGAUUAAUACCCUAUGUUAUUCGUAGAGGACAUCUGAAAUGAAUCAAAGGUUUACCGCUAAGGGAUGGGGAUGCGUCUGAUUAGGUUGUUGGCGGGGUAACGGCCCACCAAGCCGACGAUCAGUAGGGGUUCUGAGAGGAAGGUCCCCCACAUUGGAACUGAGACACGGUCCAAACUCCUACGGGGAGGCAGCAGUGAGGGAAUUUUGGGUCAAUGGUCGUAAGACUGAACCAGCCAAGUAGCGUGCAGGAUGACGGC